GGAGCAGGGGAAGGCCACGCUCAUGUGCCUGGCCAACAAGGGCUUCCCCUCAGACUGGAGUCUGGCCUGGAAGGUGGACGGCAGCAGCAGCAGCAGCGUGGGAGGAGAGCAGGAGCCCCGGGUGCUGGGGAAGGACGGCCACUACAGCUGGAGCAGCACCCUGAGGCUCCCUGCAGACCAGUGGAGGAAGGUGGGCUCUGUGACCUGUGAGGCCACCCAGGGCUCCCAGACUCCGCUCUCAGAGACACUGAGGAGAGACCAGUGUUCCCAGUCCUGAGCUGACUCACUGGCAGGGACUCUGCUACUGGUUUUACUCUGACACUGCUCUCACUCUGCUCUCUGCAACUAGCUCUGGCUUUUAUUUCACCUGUUUCAGUAGCGAUAUUUUUCCGAAGUUUUGGUCACAUUUUCCGACAAUCGUCUGUCUCAUUUUUUUGUACUUGAGUAAUUCAGUCUUUUAUUUGACGUGUAUUGACAGCGCUAUUUGCCAGCUUGUUGCAGUGUUUCAGUAUUAUUUCAGUGUUUCCAGAUAAUAAAGACGUUUCAUCAAAUCA